GGUCCCUACAGAAAGAACACACGGGCCGUGAGCGGGAGGCGACACGCCAGCAGCGGUGCCGCGCCCCACCCUCCCUCCUCCGGCCCCCGCGAUACCGCGGCCCUGGACGUCUCCGGGGCUCCGAGCGGAAACAGGAAAGAGGCAGCUGAGCCGCCCCGCCCAGGCCGGGCGGGAGUGGGUAGCAGAGCCCGCCUGCGGCGGGGAUAGGACGGCCCCGCGGCGGGCAUAGGACGGCCCCGCGGCGGGCACAGGACGGCCCCGCGGCGGGCACAGGACGGCCCCGCGGCGGGCACAGGACGGCCCCGCGGCGGGCACAGGACGGCCCCGCGGCGGGCAUAGGACGGCCCCGCGGCGUUCCGCCCUCCCGAGAUGUGCGCGGUGCCGCCUCACGGGCUCUGGCCAGGGGGAGGAACGGGUUGCGGUGGAGGGAGUCAUCACUGCUUUGGGAAAAGGCUUUACGCUGGGAAAAAGGCAUUCCAGAGUGAUUUAAGGAUGAAAGUGCCUGAUUCAUUGUGGCAGGGAAGAAAUAAAAGGUAGGGAUUUUUAAUUCGCUUUUCCUAGAAAGCAGAUCUUAUAUAAUUACCUCUCCUGCUGUCCUUCUCCAGCUAAUAUCUUGUGAAGCUGUUGACUGGUUAUAUUGGCAAAGUAGUAGAAGUCUCAUACAUAACAAUUCUGCUCCUAUAAUAUCUGUGAAAACAGAGGGCUAGGAAGAGAAGACAGUCCCAGGCUACCACCUUGACUGAAAGCAGCAGUACAUCUUUAUUAGGAAUGAAGAGAUGUUAUGGAAAUACUACCUGAUGGGGAGGAUUACUUUAUGGCUUGCCCUCUACCAAAUUCAGAAUAAUUCAACCACAAGGCCAUGGGAGAUGAGGAUACGUGUUUUGGUUUUCUGAGUUACUCAAUUGUACUUUAAGUAGUCAAAGAGAGAACAGAAAUUCCAGAAUUCCCUACAGCUCGCACAAAGCAGCACAACCCUUAGCAUACCAUCAGAGUACUUUAAAAGACCACAUUAGGCAUGUAUUUGUGUUAACCACAAUUUUGUCACUGGGCUGCUACUUUGCAAAUCUGCACUUUCUUUUACAUCUCAUCUAGAAUUCCUUUAAAUGCCCCUGUUCUGCUAUUUAUAGCUAUGUGUGUGCCUGUGCGUAUUUUAAGAUUCAUUAAUUUUGUAUAUGUCAGGGAAGGAUCCACUGAUGAAAGAUCACAAAGAGGAAGUGGGCAGAUAAAUAGAAACAGCACUCCAAAAAUCAAGCAAUAAUAAAGAUACAAUGCAGAGAAUUGUGAAUAUAAUAAUGCUGUGAAUAUAAUACAGGCAUGGAAAAUGGGAGAGUUACUUGCAAGAAAGCAAAGUCUUUCUCAUGCCAGCAGAGACUGAAGGGUCUGUAAAUGUUUGAUUCUGUGUGGUGAAGACAAGCUUUGAGGAAAUGUAUUCAUUUCACUCAGAUGCGUUGACAUGUAUCAGUAGUCCAGAAUAAUUCUGUAUAAGGAAUGAAUUCUGUAUAAGCAUGAAUUCUCCAGUAAUCUUUAUGUGUACUUGUUAAUGUCCUGGGCAUGUCCUGAACUCCACUUGCUGGAGUUCCCUUUUUCUUUAGGAGGUAGGUGGAAUUCUUUGCUGUUGCAAGAUGGAGGUGUUUUUAGGAGGUUUGAAAGGUAAAAAGAUGAUUUUUUUUUUUUCUCCAGCCUGUGAAAGCUUUAUUGGCCCUUUUUUUGACCAUCUAUGAUAUAUUCACAGAAUGUGGCAGCCAGUAACAUUCUGGAUUUUACGGGUGUACUUGACUCAACAGAACUCCUUUGCAGCAUUGGGGAUUAAGGAUUCUUUUUCUGCUACAAAUCGUUAUUUAAGAACAUUGGUGUUUCAUGUUGAAGUGGAUGUGCAGUAUAUCUUUAUUCUGUAAAUUGCAUGAUCAACCCCAAGCAUGAUUCAGACCCCAAGGUCUGAAUAUCCAAGGCAAAAGUAGUCAAAAUCAUGAUUAAUACUGCUACUGUACUUAAAUUCACUGCAAACUACCCUUAUAAAUUGUUCUGCUCCUAUAUGUUUUCAAAAACAGAGCAUGUAUUGGGACAGUGCAUGACCCACAGGUUGAGUAAUGUGCUACAUGCUUCCAUGUCUUGACAAUAUGGUAGAACAUAGAAGUACAUUUGUCCAGUAUUUGAUUAAAGAAUGAUCAAAUACUUCUGUGCUCUAGGUGGAUUCAUUUUUGUAAUAGCAUUGGUUUUACUACUCUUAUAAUGAAUUAUAUAAUUGAAGAACUUAAGUGUGUUAGGCUUACUCUAGCCUUCAUUUGUUCCUAUUUUUGGUCUUACUACAGUUUAAAAUGUAUUAGGUUGCCUAUCUUUGCCAAUCCCAGGUCCACUCCUAAGUUUCAAACAUUCAGAGUAGUAGAGCAGGCAUCACUAAGAAAAAACAACCAACUAAACUUGUGUAACUUGGAUUGUCACUGAAUGCAGUGGUAUACAUCUGAAUUGGUUAGAAGCAGCUCGGUAGUCUAGCUUACAAACCUCAGACAACUGAAAGCUACCGUCAGGAUGUUUCACCACUGCAACAAAAUCAAGUGCUAUUUCCUUAAUUGUGUCUCCAUUCUGAGGCAAUACAGAUUCAAAUGCUCAUCCAACUUUUCUUUCUCCAGGUAGUAGAAAUUCUGUAGAAGAGAUCAAGUAUGCUUUUAAAGACAGAAGUAUUCCUUGUUCUGCUGCAUGCUUUUUAAGAACUGUGCCCACAGGACUACCAUGGGAAUUUAUUCUGUACCCUCCAAAGUAUCAUGGCCAUACCUAGCAGGAAGCAGCAAGGGCAGCCACUCUGUAUAGAAAGGCAAGCCAGGGGCAAAGGCUGGCAGGAUUGUGGCCUCACUGACAAGGGCACAGUCCCACAGUACUGAAGCACAAAGAGCAAAGCAAGUCUGGUGAUUGCAACAAGGCUCAGAUAACAGUCCAGACAACCAGGAAAGCCUGUAGUGAUGAGACAGGUCCAAGAUCAAGCCACAAUGUCAAGUGAGCAGGUCAGGAUCAGAGUCAAGAGCCAGGAAGGUGGAAGAGGAAGCACAGGCAUUCCUGCAACAAAAUUCAGGCAGAGACUGAGAGCAAGAGCCCAAGCUAAAUAGCAGCCUCAGCGUGAAGGUGGACAGAACCCUAUUUCCUACAGCUUUUUCUUGCACCACUCUUUCUAUGCAGACCUCUGACUCAAAGUCACAGAGCUGCAUGAAGCCAGUGCUGAGCUUGAGCCAUAGGCAGCUAAAUUACAGAAUCACAGAAACACAGAAUAUCUCCAGCUGGAAGGAGCCUACAAGGAUCAUCAAGCCCAACUCCCUACUCCUCACAGGACUGCCUAAAACUAAACCAUGACUAAAGGUGUUGUCCACAUGCUCCUUGAACUCUGGCAGGCUUCGUGCCAUGAUCACUUCCUUGGGGAACUUGUUCCAGUGGACAGCCACCCUCUCAGAGAAGAAUAUUUUCCUAAUGUCCAGUCUGAACUUCCCCUUGAUGCAGCUUGCUUCCAUUUCCUAGGGUCCUAUUUCUGGGCACCAGAGAGAUGAGAUCAGGAUUUCCCCCAGCUCCCUCCUGCUCUCCUCGAGGAAGUUGUAGAGUGCCAUGAGGUCACCCCUCACCUUUGUCUUCUCCCAGCUGAACUAGCAAAGUGAGCUCAGCAACUCCUCCUAAAUCUUAUCCUCAAGACCUUUCACAAUCUUGGUCACUCUCCUCUGGACAUACUGUAAUAGUUUGAUGUCCUUUGUAUAUUGAGAUGCACAGAACUUCACACAGUAGGGGAGGACACAAUCUGUGGAGAAGAGGUGCACUUGGGGCCUUAACAAAGCUCAGUAUGCCAGCUGCAUCUCUAUUUAGUCUGAGUUGCCUGCCUUUGAUGUCUAGAAAAAAAAAUUAAGAUACACAACUGUAAUUUUGGCCACAGUAAGGUGGGCUGUUCUGCCCAUAGUUGAUACAAGUUAAUAAGCUAGUCCCUAGUGUUUGUUUACAAACCUGUUUGUAACUGCUCUCUAACAGUUCUGUUGAAACUGCCUGGUUUAGAAACAUGCUUGAGAUAACCUCUUUUUAAGGUGUUUUUAAGAUUAACUGCAUCAUUUAAUAGAAUUGGGUUAGGAAGCAACUACAUAUGCACUAAUGCUGGUAGGCCUUUAGGGGAAGCAACCCCUUAAUUCGAACUGCUGUGGCUAAAUCAGGAUUUCUGAAAUGUUUGUACAUACUUCAUGCUCUAAAAAACCCUAGUUUUGAAAAUUAGGGCUGGGAGUUAUCUUCUGAGUGGAUUAGUCUUAUUACAAGCUAUUGUGGGAAACUGUCAUCUAAUACUUUUUAUAAACUUAUCAAAUUCAGUUCAUAAACUAAUUUUUCCUGUUGGAAGGUUUGUGCAGAAUUUCUUUAUUUUGAAGGGUUUUAAUAUUUAAAUUUCUGGUCUAAUGUGUUUAUGACUAGUUUAGAAGCUUUUUGUUUGGUGCCUUUUUGUUGUUUUGUUUUGUUUUGUAAUGCCAGCAUUGUCCUCCAGGUUCAUAGAAUCACAGACCUCAAGAUCAUCUAGUCCAGCUUGAGCAAGGGUCAUCUAAAGCAAGAUGCUCAAGACCAUAUCCAGUAGGGUUUUGAUUAUCUCCAUGGGUGGAGACUCCACAACCUCCGUGGGUAAUCUGUUCCAGUUUUUGGCUACCCUCACAGUAAGAAAGUAUUUUCUUACAUUGAAAUGGAAUUUCCUGAUUAAUGCUUACUGCUUCUGGUCCUUUCUUUGGAAAAGUCUGGCCACAUCUUCUUUGUGCCCGCUUGCUUCUUCCCCACUCAGGUGUUUGUACAGGUUGAUAACGUCUCUCUGGGCCUUCACCUCUCCAGACUGAACAGUCCUGGCUCAUGCACCCUUUCUUCACAUGACAGAUGCUCUAAGCCCUUAAUCAUCUUCCUGUAUGUCUGCUGGACUUGCUUGGGUCUCCUUGUCUCUCUCAUGCAGGAGAGCAUAGAACUGAACACAGCACUCAACAUAUCCGACUUUGUCAUCAAGACACUACUUUUUAUACAAGGCUAAUCAAUAAGAAAUAAAAAAGAUUAAUCCAUUCUUCUAGGAAACUUUUGACUUUAUUUUUCAACAAUAAAUGUCAUCAUCUACCGUUUUUUUUACCUUCAAUGAACCCUAUUUUUAAACAAUUUCACUUGCUUACAAUAUUUCUUUUGCUUAAAAAAAUGGUGGGGGUAAUAUGUAUCUUUCUUAAAUUUGUGUUUCAUAUCUUCCUCAUUUAUUAAAAAAUAUUGUAAAGUAUUAAAAGCUAAAUAACUUAUUACAAGGAGCAGAAAAAGUUUGAAUUUUUUAGAAACUUCUAAAAAAGUUUUUACUAGAUGUCCCAGAAUCAAAAACUAGAUGUCCCAGUCUAAAAAAAAUCCAUUUUGAAAGAAAAUUAAAGCCACUACUUCAGAAAUAAUAGAUAUCAGGAAAGGGAAAACUAAACAUUAAUUCUUAUUCUAAAGCAGAAGAUAAGAAUUGCAGGAGGGCAGUAAGAGAAGGAAGAGUACAAGCUUACAGCCAGCAGAGUUAAGGAUAGGUUGGAGUUUUGAUUAUGUUUUCUUCUAAUAAAAGAAUUAGUCCAGGAAGAGUUGAAACGUUUAUUAAAAAUUUAUGAGGUACAUCUGGUGGAGAGUCUUGUUUAUGGCCUAAUAUGUGUGUUCACUUACUUAUACAGAGAUAGGACAGGUUUACAUAUCUCGAAAGGACCCUUUUACAGGGAAAGAAUGAUUCUAUAAAGAAGCUAGUUCAAAGUAAUCUCCUAGCCAGAAUCAAGCAACACGUAGCCUAGGCGGUCACAGGGGAUUUCUUAUAUUACAUAUUUAGUAAUUCAAUAGAAUGUUGAAUUGAAACCAGUGCUUCUAGUGACAAUGAUGCCAGCUUGAUGGUGGCACCUAAAGAAAAUUUUUGGCUCUGGUACAUAGUUUUUAUUUCCAAUUAAAGCAGUCUGAGUCAGUAGUAUGUUACAUUGUGUAAUGAUCCUUCAAAUUAAAGUACAGGAUUUUUUUGCGAGUUUGUUUCAUUUUAUUUCCCAACAAUACUAUCUUUCAUCUAGCUUGGCUGAUGAGGUAGGUAUUCAUGCUUUCUGUCACACCUCCCUAAGUUGUUUGGUCUGUUAUUUUACAUGUUAUAUAAUGUUUGCUGGAAAAAGCCAAUGGCUGUGAUAUCCUUUUUGAAUUGAAGUGUUUCAUAACGUUGUUGUUGACUGUGUAUCAGCUUAGCGUUUUAUAUCAUGUGUGUGCUGAAUUACCUGCUUUCACAUAUUAAGACUCUUUCAGCCUAGUAUGACACAAUGUUCUUGAUUCUGAGUUUUGCUGGUCAACUGUGAUUAACGAAGAAACACCUGCAUGACCAGAACUACUUUUUCCACUCAAAGUUUUGCUUAAUUUCUGUCUGGAAUUUUAUGCUUUUUCCUUCAAUUUGCUUCUGAAAGGGAAACCUUUUCAAGAGCAUUUUUCACAUUAGUCACAGUCCUUUGCAAGGCAGGGAGAGGUGGGGCCUCUGGUUUUCAUUCUUAAAACAUUUUGAACCAAUAAAGUAUGUUUAUACUUG